GCGGGCGUAGCUCAGUUGGUAGAGCAGUGGUCUCCAAAACCAAAGGUCGCGAGUUCGAAUCUUGCCGCCCGCGC
rnacentral:tRNA from 1 species